rnacentral:rRNA from 1 species
AUACGGAGGGUGCAAGCGUUAUCCGGAUUCAUUGGGUUUAAAGGGUGCGCAGGCGGACUUGUAAGUCAGUGGUGAAAUCCCGGGGCUCAACCUCGGAACUGCCAUUGAUACUGCAAGUCUUGAGUUUGGUUGAAGUGAGCGGAAUGUAGCAUGUAGCGGUGGAAUGCAUAGAUAUGCUACAGAACACCGAUCGCGAAGGCAGCUCACUAAACCAACACUGACGCUCAGGCACGAAAGCGUGGGGAGCGAACAGGAUUAGAAACCCCGGUAGUCC